AACGCGAAGAACCUUACCCAGACUUGACAUACAGUGGAAGUUAGCAGAAAUGUUAACGCUCUUCGGAGCCGCUGAACAGGUGCUGCAUGGCUGUCGUCAGCUCGUGCCGUGAGGUGUUGGGUUAAGUCCCGCAACGAGCGCAACCCUUAUCGUUAGUUGCCAACAGGUAAUGCUGGGAACUCUAGCGAGACUGCCUGGGUUAACCAGGAGGAAGGUGAGGAUGACGUCAAGUCCGCAUGGCCCUUAUGUCUGGGGCUACACACGUGCUACAAUGGCCGGUACAGAAGGCAGCGAAGCCGCGAGGUGAAGCAAAUCCCAAAAGCCGGCCCCAGUUCAGAUUGUAGUCUGCAACUCGACUACAUGAAGACGGAAUUGCUAGUAAUGGCAGGUCAGCAACACUGCCGUGAAUACGUUCCCGGGCCUUGUACACACCGGAGUA
rnacentral:rRNA from 1 species